rnacentral:tRNA from 1 species
UAGGGUUUUUAUAGUUGAAUAA